rnacentral:rRNA from 1 species
GGAUGAACGCUGGCGGCGUGCUUAACACAUGCAAGUCGAACGGAAAGGCCAGUGCUUGCACUGGUACUCGAGUGGCGAACGGGUGAGUAACACGUGGGUGAUCUGCCCUGCACUUCGGGAUAAGCCUGGGAAACUGGGUCUAAUACCGGAUAGGACAAUGGUUUGGAUGCCGUUGUGGAAAGUUUUUUCGGUGUGGGAUGAGCUCGCGGCCUAUCAGCUUGUUGGUGGGGUAAUGGCCUACCAAGGCGUCGACGGGUAGCCGGCCUGAGAGGGUGUACGGCCACAUUGGGACUGAGAUACGGCCCAGACUGCUACGGGAGGCAGCAGUGGGGAAUAUUGCACAAUGGGCGCAAGACUGAUGCAGCGACGCCGCGUGGGGGAUGACGGCCCUCGGGUUGUAAACUCCUUUCGCUAGGGACGAAGCGUAUUUGUGACGGUACCUGGAGAAGAAGCACCGGCUAACUACGUG